rnacentral:rRNA from 1 species
GAUGAACGCUGGCGGCGUGCCUAAUACAUGCAAGUCGAGCGAACGGACGAGAAGUUUUCUUCUCUGAUGUUAUCGGCGGUCGGGUUAGUAACAUGUGGAUAACCUACCUAUAAGACUGUGAUAACUUUGGGAAACCGGAGCUACUACCGGAUGAUUUUUUGAACCGCAUUGUUCAAAAGUGAAAUACGGUCUUGCUUUCACUUAUAGAUGGCUCCGCGUUGCAUUAGUUAGUUGGUAAGGUAACGGCUUACCAAGGCAACGAUGCAUAGCCGACCUGAGCGGGUGGACGGCCACACGGGAAGUGAGACAGAGUAGAGACACCGAGGGGAAGCAGCAGUAGGGAAUCGUACGCAAGGGGGGAGAGCGGGACGGAGGAAAGCGGCGGGAGGGAUGAAGGAGUACGGAUCGGAAAACUCUGUUGUUAGGGAAGAACAAAUGUGUAAGUAACAGGGAAGAUAGUGACGGUACCUAAUCAGAAAGCCACGGCUAACUACGUG